AGCCCUCCCACACAGCACGACCCGCCCGCCUCCCGCCAGCCUGCAGUUGACGUGGAGCAGGCGGCAUAAAUCAAGUCCGCGGGGCAUGGAGGCUGCUGCCGCUGCUGCAGCUCAGCUAGCCCGGGGCGGGAACUCCCCCUUCUCCUUUGGCCUCCCCAGCUCCCACAACCUGCCCUCUCCUUAAUUCUUCCCUGGAUAAUAGCGCCUUAACGACAAUAGUCAAACUAACAGGGUCAGAACGGCAGGGUUUGUUUGUUUUGGUCUACAGAAAAAAAAAAAAAAAAAAACCAACCCAGCAGCCUAAAGACCUCUGAAAACUGCAUCGCAAGAUGGAAGAGAGAGAGUCCCACUACUGUUUCGAAAGAGUAAGUUAUUAUUUGAAACCAUGGAAGCCAAAUGCAGGGGACACUAGCACCAUAAAAUGAAUGAAGCUGAGUGCUUGAAACACUGCUAGGAGGAGACACCAGGAACACUUCAUGAAUCUAGUUGGAGCAUUAUAAAGAAGAUUGAAUCUGGAUUCAAAUGCAGUUUCUUACAUAAGCCUGUGGCCAACAGGUGACCAAGGAUGCUGAGACAUUACCUGGGCCAGGAACAAUGUCCAGUGAGGCAUACAUCAAUCCCUGGAAAAUAGGAUGUUAAUGACCAAGACUAUGCAAGAAGCAAAACAGUUUGACAAGUGAGAGGACAACUAAGGGAUGUGCAAG